AGCGCCCGAGCUCGAAAACGAAACCUAAGGCGGCUUUUAAGCGCAGCGGCAGCUAAAGCCCCAUCAGAACAGCAGAGGCAGGAUGUGUUAAACCGGUCGACACCCCGGUGAGAAGCUGCGGACUGUUAUUCGCCACAUCGCUGAAACCUCGUCUUCAUCUCGUGGAAGCAGUGCAGAAGAAGGCUGUGUUGAAGCAUGGAAAACAGACAAAGAGGAGGUGGCAAUGAACAACCGAGAAGAGAGCCUGGUCAAAGACGGGAAAAUGGGAUGCCUAACCAGGAAAGAGAGAGAGAUGGCAUAGGCAGAAGAGGAGGUGCAGGGGAGGGAGCAGGUAGAGGAAGAGUAGGAGCUGCAGGAGGAGGUGGCAGAGGAAGAGGAGGUGCAGGGGGAGGAG